AGAAACCAUAAACAGUGAAGAUGUCGCAGCCUGCUGAGCUUUCCCGUGAGGAAAACAUUUACAUGGCUAAGCUUGCAGAGCAGGCUGAGAGGUAUGAGGAGAUGGUUGAGUUCAUGGAGAAGGUGGCUAAGGCAGUUGAUUCUGAGGAGCUUACUGUGGAGGAGCGCAACCUUCUGUCAGUUGCUUACAAGAAUGUCAUUGGAGCCCGGCGUGCCUCAUGGCGCAUCAUAUCCUCCAUUGAGCAGAAAGAAGAGGGUCGUGGCAAUGAGGACCGUGUCACUCUUAUUAAGGACUACCGUAGCAAGAUAGAAGUUGAACUCACCAAGAUCUGUGAUGGAAUUCUCAAGCUCCUUGAUUCCCACCUUGUCCCCUCAUCCACAGCUCCAGAGUCCAAGGUCUUCUACCUCAAGAUGAAGGGUGACUACUACAGGU
rnacentral:lncRNA from 1 species